rnacentral:lncRNA from 1 species
AUCCCUCUCAUUCUCUAUCAGAGAACGGCCGCCUCCCCUCUUGUCCUCUCUCGUUUCUCUCUCAAUAAACUGGUGCGCCGCAGCCGGAAGUGGUGACCGGCCAGGCGGCAACCAUUGCUGGACCUUCACCUUUUGUUCAACCCCCCUCAACCCCUGUCCCUCGUUCCACCAUUCUCAUUGCUGUUGCACCGGCGACGAGCGACUGGCCGUUUACAACCAUGGCAAUAACCAUUGCCUUCGUCCUCGUCUCUGUUAGUCUGUAGCUUUCCGGCGAUUACUUGUUUGUUUUCUUUUGAAUCUGACCGGAGGGGCCUGGAUCUGAUGGAAACACUUUUUCGGACAUGAUACUAGGUUUGCUUGCUUGUUACAAAUUUUCUUUUCUAUCUUGUCACCUAGAUCUGAGGAAUAAUGAAGAGAAACAAUAAGUGGACGUUUGGACAUAAGAAUUGUAAAUUUUUUUAAAAAAGUGAAUUUUUUUAAGUAAAAAUAUUAUUUGAAAAUUAGAGUUGUGUUUGAAUAUGAAUAUAAUUUGGUGUUGUUUUUGAAGUUUAGUGAUUAAUCUGAUUGGAAAUUUUGAAAAACGGUUUUUUGAAAUUUUUUAAAAUUUUAAAAAAUUUCAAAAUGUAUCUCCAAGCGAAAAUUAAAAAAAAGUGAAAAUUUUUUGAAAAAAGAAAAAAAUUUCUUAUGUCGAAACGUGUUCUAAAUAAUCCAGUCAUCGGAGUGCAGCCGGAAUCUAACCGAAAUAUUCUCCGGUGAUUGUUUCCCGUUAGCCUCUGCUACUGUUUGGCUAUCAUGUUCGUUGCUGUUGAGUUUUGGUAGCCUUUGGUCCUGGAUUGAAUUAAUCUUAUCAUUUUUGGGAUCUCUUUCCCAUGAUAAAAUAUGCUUGAUUCAGGGAGUUCCAUUUUCGGACUGUGAGAUGCUAAAUUGCUGCUGAGUGUCGCUGAUCCAAAAUACACUAGGUCGUGAUGGCGCCUAACGCCGUCGUUAUGUAAGCUAACAGUGAUUAAUCAAUUUAAUUACUCAUUUUAUUACUUUUGAAAUUAUAAAUUUUAUUAAGGAAGAAAAUUUACACUUUUAAAUUCACGGGAACGUACAAAUUUGUAAUUUAUAAGAGAAAUAAAAGGCGAUGAUAAUAUACAGAAUCGUAAGCAUCAACUAGUAUAUCCCAAAAUUUGGUGUCACAGGUGCACGAAUAUUUACUUAGGAGUAUAAUAAUAAUACAACAUCUAUCUAGAAUGUAAAUGAGACAGGAUAAAAUAAAUAGUACGAUAGAAACUUUGUGGACUGCGAUGCAUAGCCUGAAAUGCAGCUCGCAUAAAGUUUUAUCAACAGCUGCGCCUACGCGUUAAGAUGAUCACCAAAUGAAUCUGUCAGAUCCCGCACAUUUAGUGCAAAAGUGCAGCAUGAGUACGUAAAUCAACGCAUAUCAGUAAGUAUCUAGUCUAACCUCGGAGAAGUAGUGACGAGGAACCGAUAUCAACACCUACUAGUGGUCCAAUAAAUCAACAUGAUAAAUCUCAAACAGAUAAGAAGCACAACAGUAGUAGUGAGGUAAAAUUGUAACUAACACAAUCUUCCAAAAUUUCUUUUAACGAUAUCAAUUUCUCAAUUUCGUAUUCUAUCUCAACAACUCAGAAAUAUCAAGUGUCAAUAUCAAACGGAUAAGGAAGUGCCAUAUAAGAUGCAAGACAUUAGUGGAAGGAAGAGUCUCGUAAAUAUUCAGACUGCUAGCGAUAUAACGCACGAUUAUGUCGAGGUUGUGCGACCAGAUCUCAGAAGGAAUAUGAUACUGCCGAGGCGAUCGACCCGAUCCCAUCAUAACGUGUACACUGCCGAGGGUUGAGCGGCAUGAACCAUAGAUGCAUCUAUUAUACUGCCGAGGCAAACAACCCGCUUCCAUGAGAGUGUGGUACAUAAUCUUGCAGAGGUAUUCAGCCCGCUCCCAAGAAAGGAAAGGAAUUAUCGAAUUACGAGACACGAGCUUACGAUACAGUAUAUGAACACAAGGUGAGUAUAACCUUUACCGUUUCUCAAAUAACUUGCCAACAACUCAAGGUAAUAAGGCUCGACCUAAUAUAUAUGUAUAUAUUUCUAAAUCAAGUUCAAUUAUAAUUUUAAUUAAUUAAGCCAGUAGAAUGAGUUCAAAUAUUUCAAAUAUUACAUGGUAAAUUCCUAAGUCUACCCAGACAUAACAUGCUUUAGCUACGUACUGACUCUCGUCACCUCGUGCGUACGUAGCACCCAUAACUAAUAACACAUAACAAUUACAUCACCUAGGGGGUAGUUUCCCCAUCACAAAGUUAGACAGGAGACUUACCUCGCUUCGAAGUUCCAUAACCGGCUCCAACGCUUCUCUAACACCUCAACUCAAAGCCAAACGUCCCCAAACUAGUCGAACAACGUGUAAAUCAAUCAAAAUAUACUCCAAUGCUUACAAUUUAACAAUUUAUAAUGAUUCUCAAAUCCGAUCGAAAAGUCAAUAAAGUCAACCCUCGGGCUCACGUGCCCGGAUUCUGAAAAUUUUCGAAGAUAAACUUUACCCGUAACACCACAAACUCAAAUAUACAAUUUAUUUCUAAUUCCAUUUCCAAAAUCAUGGUCAAAAUUCAAAAUUAUCAAUUCUAGGUUUUCCUCUUAAAAUCCCAUAAUUUCCAUGAAUUUUCAUAAAUUUCCAUGUAAAAAUCCGUAUAUAAUCCAAGUAUUUAACUUGUAAUACUUACCCAGUGUUGCUCGACGAAAACCCCCUCAAAAUAGUUCCUCAACUUCGGCCAACCCAAGAGAAAAUGAGAGAAAUGAGAGUUAAGUCUCGAUUUAAAUGCACCACUGCCCAGCGACUUUCGCACCAGCGAACCACUACCCGCACCUGCGGAAAAAUCCAUCGCAGAUGCGUUUGUCUCUAAGCCAGGCAAAUCCUCUUCUGCGGAUCAAAUUCUGCUCCUGCGCGACCGCUUUUGCUGUCCACCCCACGCUCCACGUACAAGUCGUAAUACAUGAAGUGAAGCUACUCAAGGCCUCAAACCGCCGAACGACGUGCUAGAACUCAAAACGACCGGUCGGGUCGUUACACUGAGCUUCACACGUUUUUUCUUGCUAUUUGAAUGUUACAUUUUAAUAUGUUGCUUUGGGGAAGUUUCCAUAGGUUGGUAAUUUGGUUUCACUAAUAUCAGUCCUUGAUGUUUGUCACUGUUGCCUGCCGAUUAAUUCAUGUUUCGCCAUUAUAGUAAUUAGACUUUGAACUAAAUUCUGGCGAUUCUGUGUUGGCUUUAAUGGAUCGUUGACGCCGGUUUGGACAGUUUUCUUCGCUGAAGGAUGUUCCAAUUAGGAAGGCUACGCUUAUUGGAUAUUGUUGUCUUUGAACAACACUAGAGGCCGAUGAGAAUAAUUUUUUUGAGGCCACGAUGCCCCAAAUGACCGCCGGAUUGGGCCCGAAAUAACGAGGCGAUGAUGAUAAACAUCGAAAAGGGAAAAAAGACGAGGAUGCGAUGAGCCAAUAAAAUCUAUGGAGGGCGACACGAUUGGCCACCGGAGUCGCUACCAGGCGGUUCCCGUUCUCAUGUCUAGACGGAUAUCAGAUAUUACAUAUAUCUGAGCCUCCUAUAUUAUCUUUUAGACUAUUUUUCAAAAUUAUUUCUUUAAAACAAUUUCCCAAAAAUAUUUUUAAACUAUUUCCAAAAACAUUUUUCCAAAAAACAUUUAAAAAAAAAAUACUAUUUCAAAAAACAAAAAAAUAAUUUCAAAUCAUUUUCAAAAGUAAUUUUCCAAAAACAUUUUAAAAACAAAAACCAUUUCAAAAUAUGUCAUUUUAUUGGUUCGUCUUUUUCAUUACAUUAUUUCGCUAACAAUUUUAUUUCUCCUAUCUUGCGAGGUACUUUAUUCGAAACGCUUUAGAAAGAUGACGCUCGGAGAUGAAGACGAACCCGUCAAAAUUCCCGUUUCAUACUUUCCGUUCUCGGAUGUACCCAAAACGUAAAGUAUAGUAAAAUCAUAGAUAUAAGUUGUGUUUGCUUGCCUGCUUGGAUAUUUACCUACUUGCUAAACACUUAGGGUAGAUUGCAUUUAGUUAAUAAUCCGGUUAGCCUAUAACAUUGUGCGUUACGUAAUUCUUGCAAGGUUGUAUAUACGAAUUUAGAAUGUCAAAAUAUAUAUUAGUCGAUUAAUUAGGAUUGGUGUGCAAAUACUUAAUUGAAUUAGACGCCUACAUGAAUAAAUGAAAGGCAUGUCAUUUCCUUUUCAAAAUAGAUAACCUUACCUUUUACAACUACAUUAACAUGAUCUUUCUUUUAAACAAAUCUCUUUGUAAAUUAUUUUGACUAUAUUACUUAAAGUAGAUAUGACUUGUAAAAAUCAUAAUUGAGUCUACCAUACAAGGAUUAAUUCAAUUGUUGCAUACAUAUUGGGUCCAACUUGAUAAUUGCCAACAUUCUUCAUGAGCUUUUAUGAUUUUCUUAUACAGGGUUUAUAAUAUUCUUAGCCUCUUUGUAUAUUUGUUUGAUUGUCUAUAUAUACAUUUUAUUAGUAUCUACUUAUUUAUUCAAUUCUUUAAAACAAACUUUAAGGUCUUUCUUAUAUGGUCUUAAUUUUCUUUUGUCAUAAAAAUCAAUAUUCCUUUAUAAUUGUACAUCUCGACAAACCUUUUUUACGCUUUAACAUCUAGUCAAGCAUUUUAGUGAAUUACAAAAUACUUACUCAUUUUGAAGAUAAUUUUCUCCAUUAUUUAUUCAUUUUUCAUAGAGUUUUCUUAUAUAUUUAAUACAACUCAUUGUAGCAAUUAUUUGACUUUGUUCCUAAAUUAAUUUCUUCAAGUUUAUUCAAACUCUUUUAGAACAUUUCAAUUGUGGAUAUACAUUCCUUGUUUGAUUUAAUUACUCAAUUGUCACAUGUAAGAUUUAGGUGGAUAAUUUCUUUUAUAUGCUUCCCUAUCUAUGAUAACUCCACUUACUUUAUUUGGUCAUUUCUUUUAAGUUGAUUGAUGAUUAUUCAAAGAUAAUUCUUUAUCAUGUUAUUACUUGUAUUCAAUCAAGACUAACCUUUUAUAGUCAAAUUGUUUGGCUUUAGUUUCCUUUAUACUCUAUUCUGAACCCAAUUCUUUCAAUCAAAUCCCAUUUUUUUUUGUUUAUUACUUUGCUUUGCAUAUCUUGUUGUAUAUAUUUUACCAUAAAUGAAAUGGUCAUGCUUUGAAUAUUUAUUCACUACGUGACAAUUGUAUUGAAUAUCCUUUGAUAGAAAUUCUUUGUGACAUAGUUAAUCAUUCUUUUGAACCUUCCCUCCCUUAUUUGAUCGAGUCCGCAGGAAUCAUAUUUUAUGGAUCUUGAGGGAUGCCUAACACCUUUCCCUCGAGAUAUCUUGAACCCUUGCCUAGAGUCUCAAUAGUUUCGCAGAUCAUAAUUUAGUGUACAUUGUACAAUGUAAUAUAGGUGUCCUACUAUACCUCAAAUACUAGGUGGCGACUCUAAAUAAUAAUUAACCUUGUAGAGUACUAUAAGUUAUACAUUAUUUUAUCUUGUGCUAAAUAGGGUGCAACAUUCUUGAUAUUCGAAGACUUGGUGAACGAGAUACUUCUAAUGUUGGAAAACAAACUUUUCUGCCAAAUUAUUUUAUAGGAGGUCCUAGAGAUACGCGUCAACGUUAUAUGGAUGCUGUGCAACGUUUCGGAAAACCUAAUUUGUUUAUUACUAUGACAUAUAACCCAUCUUGGACGGAAAUAAAAGAACAUCUAUGGUCAACUGACGAGGCACAAAAUAGGCCCGAUUUGAUUACUCAAGUGUUCAGGGCUAAAAUAGAAGAACUGAAGACGAAUAUAUUAAAACGAAAAAUCUUUGGAAAAGUUGGAGCUUUUAUGUACACGGUGGAGUUUCAGAAACGAGGUUUACCCAAUGCUCAUUUUCUUAUUAUACCAGGUAAUGAGCACAAAUUGUUAACAGUAGAGGCGUAUGAUGAUAUAAUUAGAGCAGAAUUACCAGAUGAUUAGACAGAAUCAGAUUUGCGUAAGCUUGUCAUUAAACAUAUGAUGCACGGUCCUUGCGGUAGUUUAGAUCCAACAAAUUCUUGUAUGAAAAAAACAAUGGGUUACUGUUAAGUUCAAAAAUCCAAAAAUAUUUGCCGAUCAGACAAUGAAAGGAAACGAUUCUUUUCCCGUCUACAGAAGACGGAAUACAAGGGAAGUUGUGAAAGUAAGAUAACAAUAUUUAGAUAACUCUUGGGCACCGUACAAUCCAUAUUUACUUGGGAAAUUCAACUAUCACAUAAAUAUUGAAGUUUGCUCUGACAUCAAAGUUUUGAAAUAUCUCUACAAAUACAUUUGUAAAGGACAUGUUAAAAUUAUAUUUUGUUUAAAAAAUAACGAUACGAACAUAGAGGUAGAUGAGGUAAAAGAAUACCGAUCUGCUAGAUGGGUAUCACCUCCGAAAGCUGUUUGGCUUCUCUUUGAUUUUCCAAUAAGUGAAAUGUCUUCCAACGUUUAUCGUCUUCAACUACAUCUUGAAGGUCAACAAUUUGUUUCUUUUAAGAGCAAUGUGGAUAUACAUACAAUUAUGAAUAAUCCGAUGAUCCAAAAAAUGAUGUUAACAAAAUUCUUCUCUAUGACCGAAACUAACGAAGACGCUAAAGAGCUCAAUUUACUAUAUAAAGAAUUUCCUGAAUACUUUGUGUGGUCCUCCAGUGACAAAUUUUGGGCACGUAGACAAAGACGUUGCACUGUUGGCGUCACAUGUCAUCCAACAGAAGGAGAGCGAUAUUUUCUUAGAUUACUAUUAAUGCAUGUGCGAGGACCGACAUCAUAUAAAGAUCUUUUAACAGUGAAUGGAGAGCCUUGUAGUACUUUCAGAGAGUCCGUAGAGAAAAGAGGAUUAUUACACUGUGAUAAUAGAUGAUAGAAUAUAUGUAUGACGCCGCAAGUUACCAAAUGUCAUAUAGUUUAAGGCGUUUAUUUGCUACAUUAUUGGUAUAUUGCGGUCCUACGAACCCCAGAUAAUUAUGGGAGCAAUUUGAGGAAUUGAUGAUUGAAGACUACAAAGUAUUACAAAUUACUGAAAGAAGAGAAAUUCGAUAUCAAGCUUUGAAUCAUAUCAACGAUAUUUUACAUUCUAUGGGUCAUGAUGUAAACGAGUAUGAACUCAUCCCAGAAACUAUUAGAACUUCUAUGGAAGCAAAAGAGGCAAAAAAAAUCCAUUUUGAAAGAUCUAUUAUUGUUUCUGAAGAUGACAUAUUGUUAUAUAGGAAAUUAAACAAAAAUCAACUUAUUGCAUAUAAUCUGAUAACUCAAAGGAUAUUUUCGAACAAAGCUGGUGCCUUUUUUUAUAGAUGGUCCAAGAGGAACAGGAAAAACUUUUUUAUAUCUUGAUUUAUUAGCAACUUUACAAUUAAUGGGAUAUAUAGCUUUGGCAACAACUACUUCUGGUGUUGCUGCUUCUAUUCUUCCAAGUGGACAUACUACACAUUCGCGUUUCAAGAAUUUCCUAUUGACAUCGAUGAAUAUAGCAGUUGUAACAUUAGCAAAGAAAGCUCACUUGCAGGUUAAUCCGAGAUGCAAAAUUGAUUGUAUGGAAUGAGAUAUUUAUGGCUAAAAAAAGAAUGUUAGAAGUUUUUGAUCUACUGUUAAAAGAUAUGAUGAAUACAAAGACAUUGUUUGGCGGAAAAGUUGUAGUUUUAGGAGAUGAUUUCAGACAAACUCUUCCCGUUGUGCGAUACGGAAAAAAAGAAAAUUUCAUUGGCGAAAGUUUGUUAUAUUCUAGCAUUUGGAAUGAACUUGAAAAAUUAAAGUUAUCUGAGAAUAUGAGAGUCAAACGGAUCCUGCAUUUUGUGAUUAUUUGCUAAGAAUUGAAAAUGGACGAGUCAAUUCAGCAGACAAGAUUAAAAUUCCAGAUUCUUUGAUUAUUCCUUAUACAACCGAAAGAGAAUCUUUUGAUAAAUUAUUCACAGUGACAUUCAAAAUUGGAUUCGUUAUACUCUAAUUCAUCCUAUACAGUUUCAUGUGUGAUCUUGAUAACAAAAAAUAAUUUCGUUGAUGAAAUUAAUGACAUGCUUAUUGGUCGAUUCACAGAAAAAUCAAAAAUAUUUAUUGGCACUGAUGAGGCUAUUGAAUUUAACAACCAAACACAACUAGAAGAUCUACUACACACUUUAAAUCUUCCUGGUUUGCCCCCUUACAAAUUAUGUUUGAAAGAGAAUUGUCCAAUUAUAUUAUUACGAAAUCGAAAUUCAUGUGAAGGUUUAUGUAAUGGCACGCGAUUGGCCUGUUAUGAUUUUAAAAGUUAUGUUAUUAGUGUUAAGAUCACAGUAGGUGAUUUCAAGAAUAUGCAUGUGUUUAUCCCAAGAAUAUCACUAUUAUCAUCACAUGAUGAAAAAAUACAUGUAUAGUUCAAAAGAACGCAAUCCUUUUAGAUUGUGCUUCGCUAUGGCUAUAAAUAAAGCACAAGGUCAAACUUUAGAUUUUGUUGGAAUUUAUUUGCGAGAACCUGUAUUUUCACACCGUCAGCUUUACCUUGCCUUAUCAAGAGCAAAGAGUUUAAAUUGUGUGAAAUUGUUGAUCCGACCAUCUACACCAACUAGCCAUUACGAUCAUUCUACAUCUAAUAUUGUUUAUUAUGAAAUCAUUAAGAAAGCAACUGCUUGAUAUUUUUGACAUAGGCUUCUUCCACAGGUCCUUUGCUCUUUCCCUCUCUUAUUAUCCUAUAUACACACUUUUCUGACUUUUUUACGUUCUUAGUUUUGUGUCUUCAAUCUUUUCAUGCUUUAAUCCUAAUUUCCAUUUAUUUCAACUCUAUCAAAUACUUCAAUUUCAGACAUGUGGGCAUUAAGGAUAAUAUCUUAUGGACAAUAAGAUAAAAGAUUUUUCAAAUUUUAUUAGACAGACAUUACAUUAUAUGAUCACGUUUCCUACUUAACGUUAGUUGUUUCAUGAAAACAGAGCAAUCAUGUUGUCGUAUUAAAACUGUUGUUCAAGACCCAGCUAAAACACUCCCAGUUU